rnacentral:rRNA from 1 species
UACGUAGGCAGCGAGCGUUGUUCGGAGUUACUGGGCGUAAAGGGUGUGUAGGCGGUUCUCUAAGUUUGGUGUGAAAUCUCCCGCUCAACCGGGAGGGUGCGCCGAAAACUGGAGGGCUAGAGUGCGGGAAGGGAGAGUAGAAUUCCUGGUGUAGCGGUGAAAUGCGUAGAUAUCAGGAGGAAUACCGGUGGUGUAGACGGCUCUCUGGACCGCGACUGGACGCUGAGACACGAAAGCGUGGGUAGCAAACAGG